rnacentral:rRNA from 1 species
CAGCCGCAAUGGGAUUGAGAUAUGGCCCAUAUUCCUACGGGAAGCAGCAGUGAGGAAUUUUUCACAAUGGGCGAAAGCCUGAUGGAGCAAUACCACGUGAACGAUGAAGGUCUUCUGAUUGUAAAGUUCUUUUAUUUAGAAAAAAAAGCAGGAUAGAAUGAUUCUGCGUGAUUGUACUAAUUGAUUAAGUGACAGCUAACUAUGUGCCAGCAGCUGCGGUAAAACAUAGGUCACGAGCAUUAUCCGGAUUUAUUGGGCGUAAAGGAAGCGUAGGUGGAGGAGUUGAUCCAUUGUCAAAAGCAUCUGCUUAACAGGUGUCCGCGAUGGAUAUCGCUUCUCUAGAAUUAGUUAGGGGGUACUGGAAUUCAAUGUGUAGCGGUGGAAUGCGUAGAUAUAUUGAGGAACACCAGAGGCUAAGGCGAGUACCUGGGACAUAAUUGACACUGAGGCUUGAAAGCGUGGGGAGCAAAUGGGAUUAGAUACCCCAGUAGUCCACGCCGUAAACGAUGGGUAUUAGGUAUUUGGUUUAAAACUGAGUGCUGUAGCUAACGCGUUAAAUACCCCGCCUGGGUAGUAUAUAUGCAAAUAUGAAACUCAAAGAAAUUGACGGGGACCUGAACAAGUGGUGGAGCAUGUUGCUUAAUUCGAUAAUACACGCAAAACCUUACCAAGGCUUGUAAUCUACUGCGAAACUAUAGAAAUAUAGUGGAGGUUAUCGGUAUGACAGGUGGUGCAUGGCUGUCGUCAGCUCGUGUCUUGAGAUGUUUGGUUAAGUCCCGUAACGAGCGCAACCCUACUCUCUAGUUAAUUAGUUCUAGAGUGACUGAAUCGUAAGAUAUAGGAAGGUUGGGGCCAAGUCAAGUCAUCAUGCCCCUUAUGCGUUGGGCUGCAAACGCGCUACAAUGGUAGGCACAAUGUGUUCCAAACCAGGCAUAGUGAGGUAAUCACCUAAAACCCAUCUCAGUCCGGAUAAAAGGCUGCAAUUCGCCUAUCUGAAGUGGGAAACACUCGUAAACCGCGUCAGCAAGCCGCGUGAUACGAACUCUUGUACACACCGCCCGUCAAACU